UCUGCUUGACGCUUUGAAACAAACACGAGAGAAGAGAGGCUGAGAAAGACGAUACUUCUCUUUAAUGGCGCUUUUGGAGCGACUAGCAAGAACUGCUCGGUCAUGGCGGAGGAUAGCCUCUCUUAAAACCCUAACCCCUUCACGUGCUCCAUCACGUGACGUACCUCCUCACUACUACCGCAAGUUUCUCUCUGUCUGUCUUAAUUUGAAAGAACAAUGUUCUGAUCGCAUUAUGAAAGUACAAAGUUGAAGAUUUGAAAUUGCUUUGGCUUUACUUUGCUAUUUUUAUUUUUACUUUUGUGAAAAUUCAUAUGUAGUUAGGAACAGAGGAAAACCACCUCUGUGGAGUUUAGUGUAAAACAGGGCAAAAUCUUCUUACAGAGUUCACUCCUAUAGUCGCUAAACCGAACCAAACCUAUCCCCUGUACAUCAAAAUCACAAGACUGCACAUCAACACUCUCCUAUACACAUGAAAUCCCAACCAACUGGUAAUAACCCAGAAAAUCCCAGCCCACAACCUGUACAAGGCAUAAAAAGAUCCACCAACCAGCUGGUACAAAAGAAAAACAAAAAGUUCCCCCCCUUAACCUGCAUAUACAACCAGAAGCCAUCAUCAACUGUGCUGUUUGGAGAUAGAUUUUGUCUUUGUUCAUAUGAUUGCUGCUUUUUUUUUUAAUUUAUACGCUGGUUGAGCGGUGGUUUAUUGAAGGUUUAAGGAUUCUUGCUGAUGCUUAGAUCAGGUUUCCUAGAAACUUUCUAACAAGGGGAAUGGGAGAUAGAGUGCUUAUGUCCUGUUGGGGUGCAUUUUCUUAUAAGGAUUCUUAUUAUUCGCUGUAUAGUUUUACAAGGUUUGCUUGGAGCUGGAGCUGGUUGGCAUGUAACUGGAGUGCUGCUAGGAACAACUUAUGAUGAUGAUGAGGAGUCUCAAAAGCUUGCCCUUUCUGAGUCUACUGGUUUGGAUCGGAAGCAAAUAAACAUCUGGUUCAUCAAUCAAAGAAAAAGGCACUGGAAGCCAUCUGAAGAUAUGCAGUUUGUGGUAAUCGAUGCCACCUAUCCACACUACUAUAUGGACAAUGUUUUGAGCAAUCCCUUCCCCACGGAACGCUCUCCCCACAUUUCUCUAAAAACAGAACCAUGGAUUCACCGCCGCCGCCCAGACAAGCUUGAAGGCCAACUGCAUUUGAUAUGCAAACUGUCAUAACUCAUAAUUAAUUUGAUGGAGUAUUUUUAUGCCAUAUUAUCAUAUGCAUACCUCCUGUAUGCACCUUGGGGCUAUUUAUUCUCCCCAUGUAUAAGUUCCAGACUGUUGAAAGUAUAUAAUAGUGUAUCUCUUUUCA